rnacentral:rRNA from 1 species
UGAGACACUGCCCAGACUCCUACGGGAGGCUGCAGUCGAGAAUCUUUAGCAAUGGGGGAAACCCUGACUAUGCGACGCCGCGUGAGGGACGAAGGCCUUCGGGUUGUAAACCUCUUUCGAUCGGGAAGAAUAUCUUUGACGUGAACAAUGUCAAGGACUGACGGUACCGGUAGAAGAAGCCACGGCCAACUCCGUGCCAGCAGCCGCGGUAAUACGGAGGUGGCGAGCGUUACUCGGAUUUAUUGGGUGUAAAGGGCAGGUAGGUGGCCUAGCAAGUGGGGAGUGAAAUCCUGCGGCUUAAUCGCAGAACUGCUUUCCAAACUACUAGGCUUGAGUGUGAGAGAGGAGAAUGGAACUCCUGGUGUAAGGGUGAAAUCUGUAGAGAUCAGGAGGAACACCAUUGGCGAAGGCGAUUCUCUGGAUCACAACUGACACUGAACUGCGAAAGCUAGGGGAGUGAACAGGAUUAGAUACCCUGGUAGUCCUAGCCGUAAACGAUGAGUACUGGGUGUUUCCUGUAACAGGGAGGCGCCGAAGUUAACACAUUAAGUACUCCACCUGGGGACUACGGCCGCAAGGUUGAAACUCAAAGGAAUUGACGGGGGCCCGCACAAGCGGUGGAACAUGUGGUUCAAUUCGACGCUACGCGAAGAACCUCACCAGGGCUUGACAUAUAGGUAGUAGGAACCUGAAAGGGGGACGACUCGUUAAGCCGAGUGCCUAUACAGGUGUUGCAUGGCUGUCGUCAGCUCGUGCCGUGAGGUGUUGGGUUAAGUCCCGCAACGAGCGCAACCAUCAUCCUUAGUUGCUACCGAGGGAUCCGAAAGGGUUCCGGCGAGCACUCUAAGGAGACUGCCCGUGAUAAACGGGAGGAAGGUGGAGAUGACGUCAAGUCCGUAUGGCCCUUAUGCCCUGGGCUACACACGUGUUACAAUGGGAUGUACAGAGCGUUGCCUAACCGCGAGGUGGAGCUAAUCGCAAAAAGCAUCCCCCAGUUCAGAUUGGAGUCUGCAACCCGACUCCAUGAAGUUGGAAUCGCUAGUAAAGGCGGAUCAGCUACGCCGCCGUGAAUACGUUCCCGGGCCUUGUACACACCGCCCGUCAAGCGAUGGGAGCCGGUGGUACCCGAAGUGGCGACAACGCCCCUAAGGUAAAACUGGUGACUGGCGCUAAGUCGUAACAAGGUAGCCGUAU